rnacentral:rRNA from 1 species
GAUGAACGCUGGCGGCGUGCCUAAUACAUGCAAGUCGAGCGAACAGAUAAGGAGCUUGCUGCGUUGACGUGAGCGGCGGACGGGUGAGUAACACGUGGGUAACCUACCUAUAAGACGGGGAUAACUUCGGGAAACCGGAGCUAAUACGGGAUAACAUUUGGAACCGUGGGGUUGUAAAGUGAAAGAUGGUUGUGCUAUCACUAAUAGAUGGACCCGCGCCGUAUUUGCUAGUUGGUAAGGUAACGGCCUACCAAGGCAACGAGCCGUAGCCGACCUGUGGGGCUGGUCGCCCACCCUAGAACUGGGACACGCUCCAGACUCCUACGGGAGGCCGCAGAAGCCAAUCUUCGGCAGUGGUCGAAAGCCUGGCGGAGCAACCCCACGCCAGUGAUGAAGGGUUUCCGCUCGUAAAACCCUGUUAUUAGGGAUGAACAGCUUUCUACUUAACCGUACCCGUCGUGACGGUACCUAAUCAGAAAGCACCGGCUAACUACGUG